rnacentral:lncRNA from 1 species
UGGUAACUCCUUUGACCACAAGAAUGGCUACCAAUUACUUAUCUCGGAAUCUGAACAGCAAAAAACACCUUAAAAAACCAUCUUGAUGUGGAGGACGAGCCAUUACACUUAAUGUUGGGUGCAUAUUUCUUGGAGCAAUACAUUAAUUAAAGCUGCCUUCAAGAGGCUAAAAUACGUGCAAACAAAAGAAUAAAACAGUAGAUGAGUGCAUGUACACAUGGAUUUGUGAUCUUAAUCAGUCAAAAAAACCGUGCAAGAAAGACCAUCUUAAUGCAGGGAAGAAGCCGGCAUAUAGGCGUUGUUUUGUAUCUUUUGAGGCCUUAGAUGUGUGAAUGCACUUGUGCAUGUUGUUGCCCCAGUCACACCUUUUUAGUUCUUACAAAGUUUUUAUUAAUCAUGUUCUGCACCCGAAUAGCACCAACUGUGCCAUCAUAUCUGAUGUCAGCCUUGAGAGACACCAAUGCCACUCAGAUUAACUUUUGUGGUUAUGUUCUUUUCAAAUGCUUAAAUGCUGUUACUUUCUGCGGGCACAUACAUAUUCCUGUUUUCUGGGUUAUAUUGUUUUAACACCAUAAUUAAAAUCGCAGGUACAAGUUCACAUUGUUUAAUGAGCUCUACUUUUUGGUUGCUGGUGGGACAGUUUGGAUUGGUACUCAUCUAUACUAACUGCCAAGUCUUUCCUACCAUGAUAUUUACUUUCCUACCAUGAUAUUUACAGCUACUUCUGAUGAUGCUCUUAUCAUAAGUGCAUAUUUUGUUUUCAUCACUCAGGUAUAUAUAUAUAUAUAUAUAUAUAUAUAUAUGUUGUUGUUGUUGUUGGUGCUAGAUAUGGUUCAUAAAGGAAACUAACAUUAGCAUAAUCUGUACAGAC